GGGUCGUUAGCUCAGUUGGUAGAGCAGUUGACUUUUAAUCAAUUGGUUAAAGGUUCGAGCCGAGCGAAGCG
rnacentral:tRNA from 2 species